AUGUGGCGUAACAGCGAGGCGGACGGCACCAUUACUCACUGCCUUGUCAAACCGACGCGGUCAGCUCGCCCGAUCGCACCAGCUCUCACUAUCUCGCCCGCACUCUCUCACUAUCUCUCCCGCACUCUCUCCCUCCCUCCUACUCCUCUUCCUCUCCGGUCGCCGCCGGCUGCCAUGGUAUCCUGGACCGAGAGUGAAAGCACUGAGGGCUCCGCCGCACAGUACAUGUUCACUCCCGACUCCGCUCUCAAGAUCCCAGCUACAAUAGAUGACCCGUUGUUCAAGGGUGUUGCUGACGAUUUGAUGGUAAUGUGCGAGCAUGGGAAUCCAGGGAGGAAAUGUGUGGCAUUUGAAGGGAUAAGCACUGGGAGGAGGUUCAUUGCAUGUGCCACUAAAGGUGCUAAUAAUUGUGGAGUGCAGUGGGUAGAUGAGGAGUGGCCAGAUCAUCUGCAGAAUGCUCUUCACAAGAUGUAG
rnacentral:rRNA from 1 species